rnacentral:rRNA from 1 species
CGAACGCUGGCGGCAGGCCUCAAACAUGCAAGUCUAGGGGGUGUAGCAAUACAUCACCGGCGGACGGGUGCGUAACGCGUGGGAAUAUACCUAUUGGUUCGGAACAACUGCGGGAAACUGCAGCUAAUACCGAAUGUGCCCUUACGGGGAAAGAUUUAUCGCCAAUGGAUUAGCCCGCGUAGGAUUAGCUAGUUGGUGGGGUAACGGCCUACCAAGGCGACGAUCCUUAGCUGUUCUGAGAGGAAGAUCAGCCACACUGGGACUGAGACACGGCCCAGACUCCUACGGGAGGCAGCAGUUGGGAAUCUUGGACAAUGGGGGGAAACCCUGAUCCAGCCAUGCCGCGUGAGUGAUGAAGGCCUUCGGUUGUAAAACUCUUUCGACGGGGACGAUAAUGACGGUACCCGUAGAAGAAGCUCCGGCUAACUUCGUGCCAGCAG